UACGGAGGGUGCAAGCGUUAUCCGGAUUCACUGGGUUUAAAGGGUGCGUAGGCGGGUAUAUAAGUCAGUGGUGAAAUACAGCCGCUCAACGGUUGAGGUGCCAUUGAUACUGAUUAGCUUGAAAGAAUUGGAGGCUGCCGGAAUGGAUGGUGUAGCGGUGAAAUGCAUAGAUAUCAUCCAGAACACCGAUUGCGAAGGCAGGUGGCUACGAUUUAUUUGACACUGAGGCACGAAAGCAUGGGGAGCAAACAGG
rnacentral:rRNA from 1 species